AACAAGGCGUACCUGCGGACCUGCGGAAGGAUCAUUAUCGAGUUGCAAAACUCCAACCCUUUGUGAACAUACCUCAGUCGUUGCUUCGGCGGUGGACGGCCUGUUUUUCGGAACGGCCGGAAGCCGCCGGAGGUUCCAAACUCGUAUUUUUUAGUGUAUCUCUGAGCCUGAAAACAAAUAAUCAAAACUUUUAGCAAUGGAUCU
rnacentral:misc_RNA from 1 species